GGUCCCGUAGCUCAGCUGGUUAGAGCGUGGUACUAAUAAUUCCAAUAAGGAAUCAUUGAGUGAUGCCAAGGUCGCGAGUUCGAUCCUCUCCGGGACCA
rnacentral:tRNA from 1 species